AAUUUCCGCAAUGGGCGAAAGCCUGACGGAGCAACNCCGCGUGAGGGANGAAGGCUCUUGGGUUGUCAACCUCUUUUCUCAGGGAAGAAGAUCUGACGGUACCUGAGGAAUCAGCCUCGGCUAACUCCGUGCCAGCAGCCGCGGUAAUACGGAGGAGGCAAGCGUUAUCCGGAAUUAUUGGGCGUAAAGCGUCCGCAGGGGGCCCNUCAAGUCUGCUGUNAAAGCCNGGAGCUUAACUCCGNUAGAGCAGUGGAAACUGNAUNGCUAGAGGGCNGCAGGGGUAGAGGGAAUUCCCAGUGUAGCGGUGAAAUGCGUAGAGAUNGGGAAGAAC
rnacentral:rRNA from 1 species